rnacentral:rRNA from 1 species
AACGAACGCUGGCGGCAUGCCUAACACAUGCAAGUCGAACGAUACCUUCGGGUCUAGUUGCUCACGGGUGCGUAACGCGUGGGAACCUGCCCUUAGGUUCGUAAUAACUCCCCGAAAGGGGUGCUAAUACCGGAUAAUGUCUUCGGACCAAAGAUUUAUCGCCUUUGGAUGGGCCCGCGUUGGAUUAGCUAGUUGGUAGGGUAAAAGCCUACCAAGGCGACGAUCCAUAGCUGGUCUGAGAGGAUGAUCAGCCACACUGGGACUGAGACACGGCCCAGACUACUACGGGAGGAAGCAGUGGGGAAUAUUGGACAAUGGGCGAAAGCCUGAUCCAGCAAUGCCGCGUGAGUGAUGAAGGCCUUAGGGUUGUAAAGCUCUUUUACCCGGGAUGAUAAUGACAGUACCGGGAGAAUAAGCUCCGGCUAACUACGUG